UACGUAGGGGGCAAGUGUUGUCCGGAUUUAUUGGGCGUAAAGAGCGUGUAGGCGGCCAGACAGGUCCGUUGUGAAAACUCGAGGCUCAACCUCGAGACGCCGAUGGAAACCGUCUGGCUAGAGUCCGGAAGAGGAGAGUGGAAUUCCUGGUGUAGCGGUGAAAUGCGCAGAUAUCAGGAAGAACACCCGUGGCUAAGGCGGCUCUCUAGUACGGUACUGACGCUGAGACGCGAAAGCGUGGGGAGCGAACAGG
rnacentral:rRNA from 1 species